rnacentral:rRNA from 1 species
CACGUAGUUAGCCGUGGCUUUCUGGUUAGGUACCGUCAAGGUACCAGCAGUUACUCUGGUACUUGUCCUUCCCUAACAACAGAACUUUACGACCCGAAAGCCUUCAUCGUUCACGCGGCGUUGCUCCGUCAGACUUUCGUCCAUUGCGGAAGAUUCCCUACUGCUGCCUCCCGUAGGAGUCUGGGCCGUGUCUCAGUCCCAGUGUGGCCGAUCACCCUCUCAGGUCGGCUACGCAUCGUCGCCUUGGUGGGCCAUUACCCCACCAACUAGCUAAUGCGCCGCGGGCCCAUCUGUAAGUGAUAGCCAAAACCAUCUUUCCAUCUUCUCUCAUGCGAGAGAAGAACGUAUCCGGUAAUUAGCUCCGGUUUCCCGAAGUUAUCCCAGUCUUACAGGCAGGUUGCCCACGUGUUACCUCACCCGUCCGCCGCUGACUUCAGGGAGCAAGCUCCAUCCGUCCGCUCGACUUGCAUGUAUUAGGCACGCCGCCAGCCGUUCGUCUGACGCAGGACUACUAA